CGGAGAGAGCAGAUGUCUGUGGCCAAGCUCCUGCUUGGGAAACAGCCGCAGGCCACGACAGGCCUGCUGAGUCACCAGGCUGGACGAGCCUGCCCCGUGCCAGGUACCCUGAGGAGGACUGGCCAAGCCUGCCCCGUGCCAACUACCCUGAGGAGCCAAUGCUGGUGGAGAGCACCGAUGACAGCAAGAUGGCCCAGGAACCAUAUGAGGGGGAGUGUGGAAGUAGCCUGGGGUCAGCCGACCCCAGUCUGGCUGCUGCACUGCCAGAGCUGAUGUUAGUGUGUUGCGGCCAGGAUCACCACUGACAGCAAAAUCAAUCAUACCCAGAUCUGGAACAAAAUUAUCCAGUCAGAUCACCUAUGCAAAUGUGUACAUCCAGACUGGCUGCAGCUUUUCCCAGUCAGAACUCCUUGAACAUAAAUGAAUGACUAGUGCCAUGAUAAACUCCAUUAUCCUUAUCACACGGAACUUGAAAAGGACAAUCAGAUUACAAGCUGAAGAUGGUAAUGAGAAAGGCUUCUGCUAGUACUGCUACUCCCUGCCAAGAAAUACCCUCUUACGGUACUUUCUGUAAUGCUGUAGCUCAUUGCCCACUUGCACAUUAUUAUUGCUCAGUGAUAGCCAAAUCCUGCAGUCCUUGCUCUGGCAAAAUGUAUACUGACUUCUGUAGAGUGUUACCUGAUUAAGGACUGUGUAGGAAUGAAAGAAUCUGGGCUCAGAUCUCAAAAGUAUUUAGGUGCCUAACUCCCAUUGAUUUCAUGUAGCAGUGUAACUUCUUGCCCAAUAGCAAUGCAAGGCAUAAUACACUGUUACUCAGUUUGACCACUUCCCAGUAUUACUACAAGUAUUGCUUCUUGUUUACAAUGUCACCUGAAAGUGAGAACAGGCGUUCGCAUGGCACUGUUGUAGCUGACUUCGCAAGACAUUUACGUGCCAGAUGUGCUAACGAUUCACAUGUCCAUUCAUGCUUCAAUCAACAUUGCAGAGGACAUGCAUCCAUGCUGAUAUGGGUUCUGCUUGAUAACUAUCCAAAGCAGAACGGACCAACGCAUGUUCAUUUUCAUCAUCUGAGUCAGAUGCCACCAGCAGAAG